CAGUCGCCGCGGGAAUACAGAGGGUGCGAGCGUUAAUCGGAAUUACUGGGCGUAAAGCGUGCGUAGGCGGUGAGUUAAGUCUGCUGUGAAAUCCCCGGGCUCAACCUGGGAAUGGCAGUGGAUACUGGCUCGCUAGAGUGUGUCAGAGGAUGGUGGAAUUCCCGGUGUAGCGGUGAAAUGCGUAGAGAUCGGGAGGAACAUCAGUGGCGAAGGCGGCCAUCUGGGACAACACUGACGCUGAGGCACGAAAGCGUGGGGAGCAAACAGGAUUAGAUACCCCCGUAGUCCCUGUCUCUUAUAC
rnacentral:rRNA from 1 species